AUUGAACGCUGGCGGCAUGCCUUACACAUGCAAGUCGAACGGCAGCACGGGUGCUUGCACCUGGUGGCGAGUGGCGAACGGGUGAGUAAUACAUCGGAACGUACCUUAUCGUGGGGGAUAACGCAGCGAAAGCUGUGCUAAUACCGCAUACGCCCUGAGGGGGAAAGCGGGGGAUCGAAAGACCUCGCGCGAUUAGAGCGGCCGAUGCCUGAUUAGCUUGUUGGUGGGUAAAGCCACCAAGGCGACGAUCAGUAGCUGGUCUGAAAGGACGAUCAGCCACACUGGGACUGAGACACGGCCCAGACUCCUACGGGAGGCAGCAGUGGGGAAUUUUGGACAAUGGGGGAAACCCUGAUCCAGCAAUGCCGCGUGAGUGAAGAAGGCCUCGGUUGUAAACUGCUUUGUACUAGAACGAAAAGGUACUCUAUAAUACUAGGGGCGUCAUGACGGUACUGUAAGAAUAAGCACCGGCUAACU
rnacentral:rRNA from 1 species